GUUAAGUUAUUAAUUAAUAUGAUCUCAUAACAUGAGUCUAAAAACAAGUGCGGAAAUAUAACACAAGCCCGACAUCGGGGUGUCACAAGUCACAAGCAACUACAAGGUCUGUCUAAGUAUAAUAAAGGCUAUCAUAGACCAGAAAUAAAGGUACUAAGAACAGUCAAAGGAAGAUAAGAGGGAGAAGUGCAAGGCUGCGAACGCCGUGCAGCUACCUUGUCGACUCUGAAAGACCUGCUGAAUGAACGAUCAGCGCUCGCUAUCACGACCCGUAACUCCUGGAUCUGCACACAAGGUGCAGGGAGUAAUGUGAGUACGCCAACUCAGUAAGUAAUAAAAGUAAAUGAAAACUGAGCAGUAAGAAAUCAGAUAAUUCCAUGUCACGGCACUACAGCAAAUACGGUAUGUUUCUAAAACAGUAUAGAAAUGAUUAAUCUUAUUUUGAAAUCCAGUUUUAGUAAAAUUCUUUGGAAAAAAUGUCUUCCUAACAGUUUCAAUAAAGAAUCAAUGAAUUUUAGAAUAAAAAUUAUGAAAGUCAUAAACAGCCCCUCGGGCAAGACAUGUAUCAUAAACCGCCCCUCAGGCAUAAUAUCAAUAGAACCAGCCCCUUGGGCUACCUCACAAUCACUCAUAAGCAGCCCCUCGGGCACAACAUGUAUCAAAAUCAGCCCCUCGGGCAACAACAUAUCACUCACUCUGGGUACUUGCGCUCAGUGGGGGUGUACAAACUCUAGAGGAGCUCCUACAGCCCAAGCGCUAUCACAAGCCAUCUCGUGGCAUAAUAAAUCAGGCCCUCGGCCUCUCAUACAUCACAAAGUAGUACAACAUGCUGCGAUGCGCAUCCCGAUCCCUUGAUAUCCCCACAACAUAGGCUAUCGGCCUUACUUAGUUAGAAACCUCUCAAGCCACUCGGGCUAACAGUAAAAAAAUAGGGUGCUCAGCCCGAACAUAUCAUUUAUGGAUCAAAUCAGAGUAAAUAAGACUGAGUUAUGAAAUCAGUAAAAUAUGGCAUGACUGAGUACAGUUAUUAAAUCAAAACAGCGAGGAAUAUUAGUAAAGAAAGCCCCUAAGGGUCCUAAGAGUUGGCACGAGGCCCAAAUAUGGCGUUCAGCCAAAAACAUAGUAAUACGUCUAAUAUAUGAUAGUAUCAAGUAGUUUCAGUCAAAUAUGCAACUUAAUAGUUGCUAUGGGAUGGACCAAGUCAAGAUACCCAAUCGUGCACGCCCCUCACGCUCGUCAUCUAGCGCGUGCGUCACCUCAAAGUAGUACAACGAUGUAAAAUCCGGGGUUUCAUACCCUCAGGACAACAUUUACAAUCAUUACUUACCUCAAGCCGGACUGAACUCUAACCCGCAUUGCCUUUGCCUCUCGACUUGGCCUCCAAAUUCUCCAAAUCUAACCAAAAUCAGUAUCACAUCAUUAAUACACGCUAACGGAACAAAGCCCAAGCGAAAAUAAUCAAAUUAACUCAAAAAUCCCAAAAUUGGCCAAACCCGACCGCCGGGCCCAUAUCUCGAAAUCCGAUAAAAAUCACAACACUAGAAUCCUCAUCCCUUCACGAGUCUAUACAUACCAAAAUCACCAAAAUCGGACCUCAAAUGACCCCUCAAAUCCCCAAUCAAAGCUCUCCAAAACUCAAGGCUUGGCCUUCAAUUUCACCCCAAAUUCCCCAUUAGUUUCAUGAUUAAGUAGUGGAUAAUUCAUCACAAACACCAAAUACAAAGUCCAAGCAACUUACCUCACUGAAACCCCUCAAUUCCUCCUUGAAUUGUGCUUGGAGCUCCAAAAUUGCACAAAAAUGGUGAAAGAAUGGUUGAACAUCGUGAAGGGGCCUUUUUAUACUUUAUGCCCAGCACUUUCGCACUUGCGGUCCAUUUCACGAACUCGCAGGCCACUUAUACGGUCAAAAUAACUGCAUCUGCGGUUUUAACUUAAGUCAACAGCUUCCGCACCAGUGACAAACUCUGCAUCUACGGUUGCUUCCCGUUUCUGCGAUCAUCGCACAUGCGGUCCCCACUUCGCAGGUGCGGAAACAACAGAAGCAGCAAAAUCUGCAGCAACAAUUCAAGACCAAACCUUCCGUCAACCAUCCAAAUCUAUCUCGAGGCCCUCGGGACCUCAACCAAACAUGACAUCAAGUCACAUAUAACCAUUCAAACUUAUUCCAAUCUUCGAAACACUCAAAACAACAUCAAAACAUCAAAUCACCCUCGGAUUCAAGCCUAAGGAUUCCAAAACUUUCGAAUUCCGCAAACAAUGUAAAAACCUACCAAACCUCAUCCAAAUGACCUGAAAUUUUGCACACACGUCACAAAUGACACAAUGGACCUACUCCAAUUUUCGAAAUUCCAAUUUGACCCUGAUAUCAAGAUUUCCACUACCGACCGGAAAAUGCCAAAUUUCCAAUUCCUCCAAUUCAAGCCUAAAUCCACCACGGACCUUCAAAAUACAUUUCGAACAUGCUCCCAAGUCCCAAAUCACCUAAAGAAGCUAUCCGAACCAUAAAAACCCAAUUCUGAGACCAUUUACCCACAAGUCAACUUCCGGUUGACUUUUCCAACUAAAUAACCAACUUAAGAGACUAAGUGUCUCAUUCCACCCUAAGACCACUCCGAACACAACACCACCAACACAAUAUGAUGAAAUACAGCCGAACAACACACAAGGAAGCAGAAAUAUGGGAAACGGAGCGGUAACUCAUGAAACGACCGGUCGGGUCGUUAUAUCCUCCCCCUCUUAAACAAACAUUCGUCCUCGAACGAGUCAAGAAACAUACCUGAAGCCUCAAAUAGGUAUGGAUAUUUGUUUCGCAUCUCCUGCUCAUUCUCCCAGGUAGCCUACUCCAUGAGCUGACCUCUCCACUGCACUUUCACUAAAGUUUACUCCUUUGAUCUCAACUUUCGGACCUACCGCUCCAAAAUAGUCACUGGCUCCACAUAUAAGUCAAAUCAGUGUCUAACUGAACCGUGCUGAAAUCCAAAACAUGACACGGAUCGCCAAUAUACUUCCAGAGCAAAGAAACAUGAAAUAGCAAAUGCACGCUAGACAAUCUAGGUGCCAAAGCAAGCUUAUAAGCUACCUCUACAAUCAUCUGAAGCACCUCAAAAGGCCCAAUGAACCGAGUUUGAAAAGUUGUACGCAACUCAACCUGAGUACCCAACUCUCUUUACACAGCUCUCCAAAAUUGCGAUGUAAACUGAGUACCUCUGUCUGAAAUGAUGGAAACUGGAACACCAUGUAGGCAAACAAUCUCUCGGAUAUAAAUCUCAGCUAACCGCUCUGAAGAAUAGGUAGUACACAUAAGAAUGCAAUGUGCGGACUUGGUCAGCCGAUCCACAAUCAUCCAUAUGGCAUCGAGCUUCCUCAAAGUCCGUGGGAGUCCAACUAUGAAAUCCAUGUUGAUCUGCUCUCACUUCCACUCUGGAAUAUCUAACCGUUGAAGCAAUCCACCCAUCCUCUGAUGCUCGUAUUUCACCAACUGACAAUUGAGGCACCGAGCUACAAAUCCCACUAUAUCCUUCUUUAUUCUCCUCCACCAAUAAUGUGUCUCAAAUCCUGAUACAUCUUCGCGUCACCUGGAUGGAUGGAAUACCGCGAGCUGUGGGCCUCCUCCAGAAUAAACUCCCGAAGCCCGUCUACAUGAGGCACACAUAUGCAAUACCCCAUCAUCACCAAUAAUCACAUAUCUUGCAUCAUCGUGGUGAACUAUGUCCUUAAGUACAAGCAAAUGAGGAUCAUCAUACUGUUGCUCUCUGAUGCGAUCAAACAAUGAAGACCGAGAAACCACAAAAGCUAAGACCCGACUGGGCUCCGAAAUAUCCAACCUCACAAACCGAUUGGCCAAUGCCUGAACAUCAACUGCAAGAGGUCUCUCCCCAACAAGAAUAUAUGCCAAAUUGCCCAUACUCACCGCCUUCCUACUCAAAGCAUCGGCCACUAUAUUGGCCUUCCUCGGAUGGUACAAGAUAGUGAUCCUUUAGUAGCUCCUAGCAUAUCUGUUGCCUCAAAUUGAGAUCCUUCUGCUUGAACAAGUGUUGGAGGCUACGAUGAUCAGUAAACACCUCACAAGACACACCAUAGAGGUAAUGCAUCCAAAUCUUCAACGCAUGAACAAUGGCAGCUAACUCUAGAUCAUGAACAGGGUAGUUCUUCUCAUGGGGCUUCAACUGACGAGAAGCAUAAGCAAUCAGUCUACCCUCCUGCAUCAACACACACCCAAUACCAACUCUCGAAGCAUCACAAUACACUGUAUAUGAACCUGAAGCUGAUGGCAAAACUAACAUUGGAGUUAUGGUCAAGGCAGUCUUUAGCUUCUGAAAGCUCGUCUCACACUCAUCCGACCACAUGAAAGGCAUACCAUUUUGAGUCAAUUUGGUCAAGGGUGAUACUAUAGAUGAAUAUCCCUGAACGAACCAACGGUAAUAACCCGCCAAACCAAGAAACCUACGAAUCUCUAUGCCUGAGGAUGGUCUGGGCCAACUCUGAACCGCCUCUAUCUUCUUCGGAUCAACCUGAAUACCCUCACUAGAAAUAAAGUGUUCCAAAAAAGCCACUAAAUUGAUCCAAAACUCACACUUGGAGAACAUUGCAUAAAACAUCUCCUCCCUUAAUCGCUG
rnacentral:lncRNA from 1 species